rnacentral:piRNA from 2 species
UGUAUUCCUGAACUGGAGCCCCAGAC